rnacentral:rRNA from 1 species
UACGUAGGGUGCAAGCGUUAAUCGGAAUGACUGGGCGUAAAGGGUGUGUAGGCGGUUUGUUAAGUCUGAUGUGAAAUCCCCGGGCUCAACCUGGGAACUGCGUUGGAAACUGGCAAACUAGAGUACGUAAGAGGGGGGUGGAAUUCCACGUGUAGCAGUGAAAUGCGUAGAUAUGCGGAGGAACACCGAUGGCGAAGGCAAUCCCCUGGGCCUGCACUGACGCUCAUGCACGAAAGCGUGGGGAGCAAACAGG